UGGUUUAAGGAUGCACUUAGGUGAGGUUAGGUAAAAAUUAAGAAAUUAAGAAAUUAAAAUUGAUACUAUAAGCUGGUAGAGCAUCAAUUAAGGAUAAAGAUAAGCUAAAAAUAUUGAUAGGUCAUGGACCUCCUUUUCGAGAUAAUUGAGAUUUAAAAUAUGGCGGGAAAAGGCUGACUCGGACUUUUACCUUAUAUUUGCAUUGAUAUUAUU
rnacentral:lncRNA from 1 species